rnacentral:rRNA from 1 species
UACAUGCAAGUCGAACGAGAAGCCAGAGCUUGCUCUGGUGGAAAGUGGCGAACGGGUGAGUAACACGUGAGAAACCUGCCCCAAAGAUUGGGAUAAGCCUUGGAAACGAGGUCUAAUACCAAAUACCUUCUUUUUAACACAUGUUAAAAAGAGAAAUGCUCCGGCGCUUUGGGAUGGUCUCGCGAUCUAUCAGCUUGUUGGUGAGGUAACGGCUCACCAAGGCAUCGACGGAUAGCUGGUCUGAGAGGAUGUCCAGCCACAUUGGAACUGAGACACGGUCCAAACUCCUACGGGAGGCAGCAGUAGGGAAUCUUGCACAAUGAGGAAACCUUGAUGCAGCGACGCCGCGUGCGGGACGAAGGCCCUAGGGUUGUAAACCGCUUUCAGUAGGGACGAAAGUGACGGUACCUACAGAAGAAGCCCCGGCCAACUAUGUG